rnacentral:rRNA from 1 species
UUGACCUCAAAUCAGGUAGGACUACCCGCUGAACUUAAGCAUAUCAAUAAGCGGAGGAAAAGAAACUAACAAGGAUUCCCCUAGUAACUGCGAGUGAAGCGGGAAAAGCUCAAAUUUAAAAUCUGGCAGUCUUUUUUUUCUUCUUUGGCUGUCCGAGUUGUAAUCUAGAGAAGUGCUUACCUGCACUGG